rnacentral:rRNA from 1 species
AUGGCGACGACAAGCCGGUGCAGAAUUUGCGGCAAUGAGGAUUCGUGGCGUCACUCGUUGUUGGAGUGCACCAUGUCAAGGUGCGUGUGGGCGCUCGAGGAAGAGCGUCUGCUGUCGGCUUUAAGUGAGGUAACAGAACCUGAUGCACGCAGAUGGAUCUUCACUAUAAUGGAGAAAGUAUCGUCGUCAGAUUUCAUCAGAGCUCUAGUCACUCUAUGGGCUAUUUGGCAUGCUCGUCGGAAGGCAAUCCAUGAAAAUAUAUUUCAAAGUCCAGCGGGUACGCAUCUUUUUGUUGAUCGCUCCAUCUCAGAGAUAUCAGUCUCUAGGCCUACGCAACAGAACCAGGUGAGAGCUCCAACGUUGAUUCAGCGCUGGCUUCCUCCGCCACCGGGCCACUGCAAGAUCAAAGUGGAUGGGUCUACAACCAAAUCAGCAAGACGCGGAUCAGUCGGUGUCAUCUGUCGAGCCAUGGAUGGCUCGUACUUGGGAGCUUCAGCUAUAUGUUUUGAGGGUGUCUCCGACCCGGCGUCUCUUGAAGCCCUAGCGUGCAGGGAGGCAUUGGCUUUAGCAUCUGAUCUAAUGCAAACACAAGUGGUGGUCGCAUCAGACUGCAAGGAAGUGGUCUCCAAUAUUUCUGAAGGCAAUGGAGGAACACGUGCACAUAUUAUUCGGGAGAUCAAGAAAAUGGAGUCUGAAUUUCAAUCUUGUUCUUUUAUUUUUGAACGUAGAACCACAAAUAUCGAGGCACAUAGCCUCGCUAAAUACGCGCUUAGUCUGUCUAUUGGUCGCCAUGUUUGGCUGCUCCAACCUCCAAACUUGAGAUGUAUUCCUCAGAACAUUCUUGAGUAA